UACGUAGGGUGCAAGCGUUGUCCGGAAUUAUUGGGCGUAAAGAGCUCGUAGGCGGUUUGUCGCGUCUGCUGUGAAAACUGGGGGCUCAACUCCCAGCCUGCAGUGGGUACGGGCAGACUAGAGUGCGGUAGGGGAGAUUGGAAUUCCUGGUGUAGCGGUGGAAUGCGCAGAUAUCAGGAGGAACACCGAUGGCGAAGGCAGAUCUCUGGGCCGUGAACUGACGCUGAGGAGCGAAAGCAUGGGGAGCGAACAGG
rnacentral:rRNA from 1 species